rnacentral:lncRNA from 1 species
UACCUUCUCCAGCUAAUUUUCUUUUCUAUUUCGUAGCCGGCGCAGCCUCCAAGUGCCUAGCUAAUGGUGGCAAGACCUCGCCACACCCUUUUAAGGGAUGGCAAGAAGCCAAGAUUCUCCGAUGUCUGAAAUUCACCAAUAGUGUUUGUUUAAAAUAUUCCCGUGCCGCCCUUCAUCAGAAGGUCACACCGGCUGUAAGAAUCGAGAAAACUUCANUCUCAAAGAACUGGGUGAAAGAAAGGGGAGUUGAUUUGGGGGGGACCCUGGAAGUCAGAGACGGUAUCCCUGACAUGAACUGUGAAGUGACCCCUUCCUGUGGGCAGGAAGAAUCCAAGUGGGAAACCAUGUUUGCUGGCCAAUUUCCUAUUUCGGUGGAAGACCCUGGAUAACGAUGGGACAUUUUACAGACUGCGA